GCGGGAAUAGCUCAGUUGGUAGAGCACAACCUUGCCAAGGUUGGGGUCGCGGGUUCAAAUCCCGUUUCCCGCUCCA
rnacentral:tRNA from 1 species